rnacentral:rRNA from 1 species
CUAUGGCUGUCGUCAGCUAUGGCUAUCGUCAACUAUGGCUGUCGUCAGCUCGUGCCGUAAGGUAUCCUGUUAAGUCAGGAAACGAGCGCGACCCGCACCCGUAGUUACAACGAAGAGGAUUCCCUCUCCGGUACACUACGGGGACUGCCGGGGAAAUCCGGAGGAAGGCGCGGGCGACGGCAAGUCCGCAUGCCCCUAAUCUCCCGGGCUACACGCGCGCAACAAUGGGUGGGACAAUGGGAACCAACCCCGAAAGGGGAAGGAAAUCCCAAAAACCCACUCUUAGUCCAGAUUGAGGGUUGUAACUCGCCCUCAUGACGGUGGAAUCCCUAGUAAUCGGGGGUCACUAUUCCCCCGGUGAAUACGUCCCUGCCCUUU